AGAACGAACGCUGGCGGCAGGCUUAACACAUGCAAGUCGAACGAACGUAGCAAUACGUUAGUGGCGCACGGGUGAGUAACGCGUGGAUAUCUGCCUUUUGGUUCGGGAUAACCUUGGGAAACUAGGGCUAAUACCGAAUGGUUCCUACGGGAUAAAGAUUUAUCGCCAAAAGAUGAGUCCGCGUCCGAUUAGCUAGUUGGUGAGGUAAUGGCUCACCAAGGCGACGAUCGGUAGCUGGUCUGAGAGGACGAUCAGCCACACUGGGACUGAGACACGGCCCAGACUCCUACGGGAGGCAGCAGUGGGGAAUAUUGGACAAUGGGGGCAACCCUGAUCCAGCCAUGCCGCGUGAGUGAUGAAGGCCUUCGGGUUGUAAAGCUCUUUUGGCGGGGACGAUGAUGACGGUACCCGCAGAAUAAGCCCCGGCUAACUUCGUGCCAGCAGCCGC
rnacentral:rRNA from 1 species